rnacentral:lncRNA from 1 species
UGAUUCACCGACAGCUGAACCAGCUACUGGUACUAGGGGGUGGGCGUCUGCAGAACCGUUUCCCUCCCACCUCUCCCAACCCCCUACCCGGGUGGGAAGUGGGCUGGCGGGUCGAGAGAGGCCAGGUGGAUGACAGCCGCGGAGUGCGUGCCUGCUCUUCCCUCUCUCCCUCCUCCUCCCAGUUUCAUUUCCACACAUACAGCCACCCACCGGGGACCGGAGGCGGCUAGUGUUCUCUGAACGGAGGGAACUGGCUCUCUCUGUGGUCUCCUGUUUACUUCCCUCCUCCUCUUUCCCCUCCCUUCUCCCCGCCCCCAUCUCCCAGUGCUGCUUCCCGCCCAGAGCUGCUGGGAAACCUGAGGCUAAACACUGCAGUCAUGCGACUUCCCUGGACCCAAGCUUUGGCCCAGGUUUGCCCUGUCCUGUCCUGUCUUGCCCGGUGUCCGCUUGUUUGGGGCACUUCUUUCGUCCUGAAAAGGUUCUUGUGGCUCCCUAUCCAGGAACGUGGAAGAGCCUGCUUCCCAGUGGGAAGAAUACAGCCUCUCUCUCCCUAAAUAAGCUGAAUGAACAAAGGAUUCCAAGGAGGCUGUGGGGGUUCCAGCUCUGGGUGCCACCUGCCUGAAGUUCACCCCAUUUAAAAACCACCUCUUCACCACCACCCCCUGCUCCACUGCCAUGGUUACCAGCUCCCCAUCCUUCCCAGUACAAUGUUGCACAGAGGCAGAAACAAACAAGGACAUUUAAAAUGUUCUUUUAAAUAAAUAUCCAAAACACUGCCUUGGUAUUUUGGUAGCAAAGAAGAGGGAAUAAAAGUACUGACUGCUGGUUUCUUCUGACCCCGAGACCCUGAAUAAAUCCUUACCCUGGAUGGCCUCUCAGCUGCCAAAAGAGGGAAGGAAGCUUGGUGAGAUACUAGAGAGUGGAAUUCAGAACAAACCCUUGGCAGGAGAAUUAUUCCCCAAGUUAGACUCUUUCUUGCUUCCCCCUCCACCCCAGCUGCUUUGA